rnacentral:rRNA from 1 species
UACGGAGGGUGCGAGCGUUGUCCGGAAUCAUUGGGCGUAAAGCGCGUGUAGGCGGCUCGAUAAAUCUGCUGUGAAAGUUCAGGGCUCAACCCUGAAAUGCCGGUGGAAACUGUCGAGCUAGAGUACGGAAGAGGUGAGUGGAAUUCCUGGUGUAGCGGUGAAAUGCGCAGAUAUCAGGAGGAACACCAAUGGCGAAGGCAGCUCACUGGGACGUUACUGACGCUGAGACGCGAAAGCGUGGGGAGCAAACAGG